rnacentral:rRNA from 1 species
GACGAACGCUGGCGGCGUGCUUAACACAUGCAAGUCGAACGGAAAGGCCCUGCUUUUGUGGGGUGCUCGAGUGGCGAACGGGUGAGUAACACGUGAGUAACCUGCCCUUGACUUUGGGAUAACUUCAGGAAACUGGGGCUAAUACCGGAUAGGAGCUCCUGCUGCAUGGUGGGGGUUGGAAAGUUUCGGCGGUUGGGGAUGGACUCGCGGCUUAUCAGCUUGUUGGUGGGGUAGUGGCUUACCACGGCUUUGACGGGUAGCCGGCCUGGGAGGGUGACCGGCCCCAUUGGGCCUGAGAUACGGCCCAGACUCCUACGGGAGGCAGCAGUGGGGAAUAUUGCACAAUGGGCGGAAGCCGGAUGCAGCAACGCCGCGUGCGGGAUGACGGCCUUCGGGUUGUAAACCGCUUUCGCCUGUGACGAAGCGUGAGUGACGGUAAUGGGUAAGGAAGCACCGGCUAACUACGUG